rnacentral:rRNA from 1 species
GACGAACGCUGGCGGCGUGCCUAAUACAUGCAAGUCGAACGCACUCUCGUUUAGAUUGAAGGAGCUUGCUCCUGAUUGAUAAACAUUUGAGUGAGUGGCGGACGGGUGAGUAACACGUGGGUAACCUGCCCUAAAGUGGGGGAUAACAUUUGGAAACAGAUGCUAAUACCGCAUAAAACCUAAACACCGCAUGGUGUAGGGUUGAAAGAUGGUUUCGGCUAUCACUUUAGGAUGGACCCGCGGUGCAUUAGUUAGUUGGUGAGGUAAAGGCUCACCAAGACCGUGAUGCAUAGCCGACCUGAGAGGGUAAUCGGCCACACUGGGACUGAGACACGGCCCAGACUCCUACGGGAGGCAGCAGUAGGGAAUCUUCCACAAUGGACGAAAGUCUGAUGGAGCAACGCCGCGUGAGUGAAGAAGGUUUCGGAUCGUAAACUCUGUUGUUGGAGAAGAAUGUAUCUGAUAGUAACUGAUCAGGUAGU